rnacentral:lncRNA from 1 species
AAGCCAAAGCAGCAUGUCUCUGGUGAACUUUGCCCUGGCUCUGUCCAUUCUGGCAGAUCACUGUAUACCCCAUAUACAACACCUAUACCAGUUUUCAAUCAUCAGGUCAGUAUUGAGAUCCAGGAAGCACUCUCAUGUAUUAACUGUUCAUAUAUAUGAUGUUGCAAAAAGAAGCUGAACCUACUUUUGUUAUUUUUUGAUAGCGCACCUCCAAUAUGUUUGCUCUUCAACUUCAAUAUGACCUGUAACAUCCGGAUUUGCUGUUAUCGAUAUAUACUGUUUGUAAUGAACAGUUACUCACCAGAAUUGGCCAAGUUAUAUAACUGUAAACCUUUUGUCCUAUUGCAAAUGAAUCUCUGGAGGAAAAUUGACCUACCUGUGACCUUUUGUUAAUGUAGAUUGAUACCCAUCUCUUGUGUAAAUUCCCUGAUUCAAGAACAAAAAAAUAUUGCAUUUCAGGUCUCUUAAUCUGGUUCAUAUUUUCAUUCUAUCAGAUUUUCAUUAAAUGUUCCCAAUAGUUUAGUAGUUCUCACCUUUUCUUGUGCGUUUGAGCAGCUUCCCUUCCUUGCACCAGAUAUCAGGGCUCCACGAAGGUGCCUUCUCACAAGGAAGGACACUUGCAUUGCUUCUCGUCUCAAGCUGGACCCUCUUGUUCAGUGUUGCAGCUCCUCUCAAAGCUUUGCAC